UACGAAGUUGCCGGUCAGAUUACCCUC
rnacentral:piRNA from 1 species